GACGUAGGGCGCGAGCGUUGUCCGGAUUUAUUGGGCGUAAAGAGCUCGUAGGCGGCUCAGUAAGUCGGGUGUGAAAACUCCAGGCUCAACCUGGAGACGCCACCUGAUACUGCUGUGGCUAGAGUCCGGUAGGGGAGCAUGGAAUUCCUGGUGUAGCGGUGAAAUGCGCAGAUAUCAGGAGGAACACCGAUGGCGAAGGCAGGUCUCUGGGCUGACACUGACGCUCAUGCACGAAAGCGUGGGGAGCAAACAGG
rnacentral:rRNA from 1 species